GAAAUGCGAUAAGUAGUGUGAAUUGCAGAAUUCAGUGAAUCAUCGAAUCUUUGAACGCACAUUGCGCCCCUUGGUAUUCCAUGGGGCAUGCCUGUUCGGGCGUCAUUUGUACCCUCAAGCUCUGUUUGGUGUUGGGUGUUUGUCCCCGUCUCCGCGCGUGGACUCGCCCCAAAGUGAUUGGCAGCCGGCGUACUGGUCCCGGAGCGCAGCACAUGUCGCGCAAACGAGUGCCUUGGUACGGCGGCGUCCAUAAGCCCCUCUCUCACGCUCUUGACCUCGGAUCAGGUAGGGAUACCCGCUGAACUUAAGC
rnacentral:misc_RNA from 1 species